UACGGGGGGGGCAAGCGUUGUUCGGAAUUACUGGGCGUAAAGGGCGCGUAGGCGGGUGGACUAGUCUCUCGUGCAAGCCCACGGCUCAACCGUGGAAUUGCGGGAGAUACUGUCUGUCUUGAGUCCGGGUGAGGAGGGUGGAAUUCCCAGUGUAGCGGUGAAAUGCGUAGAUAUUGGGAGGAGCACCGGUGGGGAAGGCGGCUCUCUGGACCGGUACUGACGCUGAGGCGCAAAAGCUAGGGGAGCAAGCGGG
rnacentral:rRNA from 1 species